CCGCGAGGCUCUAGGGACCAAUCAGGGCCCAGCUCAGCUUCCCGCUCUGGGAUCCAGGGGGGUGCGUGAGAUCACCAGUGGCGGGAGCAAGAGGCGGAACGAGGCGGCAAGUGAAGUUUUGAAUACAUCGCCAAACGAGGAAGAUAAUGUUUGCAGCUCUUAAAUAUCAUGCAGUAGACUAUUUAUAUGAGAAUGUGGCAAGACAGAAGUUUUCUAUUGAUCGGUUAUCAUUUCGUGUUCCUCCCUGUUUACAUCAAGAUGAGAAUUACUAUCAUACUGGAGUCUUUGCUGAUGAUAAGUACAGGAGGCCAUGGAAAAGAGUUUCAGUUGUUUCCACACAAAAAAUGAUGGAUCUUUCAGUCCUGGAUCAAUGGAAGCAAAGUUUAUAUGUAGAGGAUUUCCUGGAGAAGAAACCAAUUUCAUGCACAGAAUUCCAUAUUAAUAAUGAACUAAUAGAAGUUGUUCCAAGUUCAAAUCCCUACUCACAGACUGACACAGAAGAAGCCUAUUUACUUAUCAAGAAUGACUACAAAGAAGAAUUCACCCAAGUUAUUUGUGUUAAGCCUGACUACGUCCCAGUACUUAAAGCACAAGAUCAAGAUUUAUAUAUUGCAGAUGACCUUGUUUUUUUUGAUAAUUUGGAAAAAUAUCGUAAACAACUACCUACUCUGCGUACCCUCCUGGCUAGACUAAAAAUGUUCUUAGUGAAGGAUCCCCUCUUAAAUUCUAAAGGACAGAUUUUGACUGAAGAGAACCUUUUCAGAGAAUGUUUGACUUUCCAAAGCAAUGCAGAGACACACGAAAAUGAAAAAGAACUACAUGCAGUUAAGGAAGAUUUUUGUCGAAUGUCUUUAAAGGAUGAGGAGUCAUUAAUGCUGCCUGUUGAGUUAGAAUCCAAUGAGACAACAAACUUCAGACAGAAAGUUGAGAUUCCAUCGUGCUUGGAACUGAAAGAGUUGUUAAAAUUAGCACCAGAAAUUAUAGCAGAUGAAAGCAGGAGUGAAAAGAAAAUCAAAGAUCUUACUGCAAAUAUUACAAACGAAAUAGAGAUUUCAAAAUACUGUCCCACAAUGGAGGAGGUUUGUUUCAAUCAGAGCAGAAAUUCACUGGAAUGCAGUGAGGCAGUUCGUUACGCUUUAUAUCCUCAAUAUGAAGUAGAAAUACCGCUAACUCCGCCAUGCAGACCACAAAGAUCACAUGUGAAUUCACUUCAUGCAGGACUUCAGGCAGAACCUAUUUCUCCUGUUGGUAACAGUAUUCUGUUUACAGAGUCAACUAAGGAGUACUUAGAGUGCCUGGUGUGGCAGUCAGAAAAAUACCAAAAUGCUGUGAACUCUCUUUUGCUUGAAGAGAAUCAGACCAUUGAACCUACAUUUCAACAUCAUUCAGUUACAGAACUGAAAGAGAUGUUGUCCAUCCAUGUGGAAGCGCCAGUGUUUAGCCCAUUGAAAUCAGACUGGUGGAUUCAUUCAGGACUAAAUCUGGUAUUACCAGAUUCUUUGGAGCAACUAAGCACUGAUUUGAGUAGUGCAAAUAGUAUGUUUACCACUAAAGUGGAAGUAUUCUCACAAAUUACACAAUUUCAGUUAGAAAGGUGGCUUGAAGAGAAGUGUUCCCUUACUAACCCAGGACUGCUUUCUGUCAGUGCACAUCACUGGGACAAAACAACAAAUUCUCAUUUCUCACCUGAAAAGAAGAGCCCAUUCUCUCCAUUACAUUUGAGAGCUGCACCUCAUGUUAACAUACAUGAUACAAAUACAUCUGUUGAAUGGCUAACAAGACAGGAAAAACAGCACAGUGAGACAGAAGGACCAAUGCAUUUCUUGUAUCACGAAAAGAAAAACAAAGAUUUGUAUGACUCACUUAACUGUAAAGAAGUAUCUUUUGAACCAAACAGCUCAACAAAAAGCCAGAAGACUCCACUAUUCGAACAGUCUGGACAAUGUAAUGAUGAUUCUGACCUUCUGAGCAGUUUUAUCAUGCUAAGAUCUAAACACGUGUUCAUCCAAAAUGAGGAAAAAAAUAAUGUGGAUAGGCAGAAAGAUGCACUGGAAAUUAAAGAGUGUCCAGAAGGUCUUAAAGAAGACAGUCCUGCUGUUUGUAAGGCUACAUUGACAGAGAAAAUAGAACAGGAGAAUCAAGGCAGCAUCUCAGUCAAAAUUCAAGCAUCAGAAACCCAGUGCCAGGCAUACCGUCUAUUAGAAGCAACAGCCACUCCCGUUCUAAAAGAGUUGAUGCAUCUUGGCAUACUCGCCGCAGUGAAUUGGAGCUUUGCCACUGUUAAAUUUGAUCACACUAGAUUUUUCUUAAAACAGCAGGAGAAAGUGAUCUGUGAUAUUUUUAAACAAGGUAAAAAUAGUGAGAAAGAGAUACUGUUGUUCAAACAUGCUGCUCUGGUGCACCUGUUGGUAACAGUUCGAGACCUCCUAUUAAUGUGUAGCUUGGACACAGCAUUAGGGUAUUUGUCCAAGGCAAAGGAUAUCUAUACAAGCAUCUUAGGUUCCUGUUUGGAUAAUAUUUGGAGGCAGCUGGAGAUUGUACAGUAUAGCAGGCAGAAGAAGAAUGAAAUCAGUCCCAAACUAACAGAGCUUCAGUGUCAGAUGUUCAAGUGGGUGCAGAGUAGUACAGAUGAACAGAAUAAUAAGGUACUAAUCAUAACAAGAAUGGACUUUGAUCAUGAAAAAGCUGCCAUCACUAAAACCCUUAGUGCAGUAGAAGGUUUCAAAGCCAUGGUUUUGAAUCCUGAGAAAAGAGGAGUUCUGUUAGAGCACAAUGUCAUAAGCAGUCUGAGUAGAUGUUCCUGUGUUAUUGUACAUAAUCAGCACAUUGGAGCUGACUUUCCAUGGACUCUUUUCUCAUUAGUGGUGGAGUAUGAUUACACAGAGAACUCCUGCUGGGACGAGCUGUGCAAAAAUUUGAAUAUUACUUACAUAACUUUUAAAACCACUCUUCCAGAAACACUUGGAGUGGUUUCAGGUGAAAAUUUUGGCUGCUUCCUUUUGGAGGUGCAGAUUCCGUAUGUGUUUCUGACAUCUGAAGGACUUCUUAAUGCACCGGAAAUCCUUCAGCUUCUAGAAUCCAAGUACAAUAUUACUUUUGUUGAGAGAAGUUGCAGUGAAUCAUUACAGCUCUUUGGAGGUACAGAACGCUAUGUCGUGAUAACAAUAGAUGAACGCACUGCCAUAAUUAUUGAGACUUUGGAAGAACUGAAUUAUGAGAAAUCCUCUGAUAAUAUCAUAUUAAGACUGAUGGCACUAUCACUCCAAUACAGUUGCUGUUGGAUCAUUUUGUAUUCCAGAGAGAGACUGAAUUCAGAGUACAGCCUCACAGGAGAGACUCUGCAUCAUCUAUCCUUAAUUUAUGCUGCUUUGGUUCCAUUUUCACAGAAAUCAGAAGACUUUGAAGUGAAGGUAGCUCUUGUGCCAGGGGUUGAAGAGACAGCAUUGUUAAUUCGUCAGAUUGCUGACAACAUUUUGAUGUCUUCUAAAACAAAUCCUCGUGAAUGGUUGGACAAAUCCUGGCUUUCUAUCUUGCCAUCUGAGGCAGAGAAGUGCUUGCUUACUUUUCCAUGUAUAAACCCUCUAGUAGCUCAGCUCCUGUUAAAGAAGGGGUCUUCACUGAAGUGGCUGUUGUUGGCAACUUUUGACCAACUUCAGGAACUCCUGCCUGAGGUUCCAGAAAAAGUUUUAAAGCAUUUUUGUGACAUCACUUCUUUGUACAACCUAAAUUCUUCCACUCCUCCAAAAUCACCCAAGAAAACCAUAUCACCUCAAGAACAAUGGAGCUGCUUCAACAUGACCUUUCCUCAGGCUUCGUUUUCCAAGUCUUUGCUCUCUAAUAUUCAAAGAGAUUAUCACUAUUCAGAAUUGCUUGAUAACAUAGAGAACAGCACAAGUCAGUGCUUGGAUUAUUACAAAAAUGAGUCUUGUUCUCCUUCGAGAUCAAGUGAGAGGCAGAGCAUGUUAACAUCUUCGCUGUCUUAUUGUGGACAGGUCAGUUGCUUUGAUGAGACAGACCAUGAUAUAAAUGGUCAGCAGUACCUUCCUUUUAUGAAAAAUGUGGGAACAGAGAGUGCAGAUAGUUCCUCAUUCUUAAAACAGAGUGAUUCAGAUGUAUUUUCUUUGGAAUCAAGCCAUGUGAAUUAUGAAGCCAGAAUCUCACCACCAGAGACCCCUAAGGAGUAUUACAAUUCAGUGUCCAGCAAGGAUACAGAGGAGAGCUUAACAAUUCCCAUCAGUAAGGAAGUUUAUGAAAUCCUUACGAGAAGAGAGAGCUGUCUAUGUGACCUCAUUGAAAAGAAGUUUGGUUGCACGUCUCUCCUUAAGAGUAUAAGAUGUCCCCUUGAAGUAUACAGGAAAAGCCUGAAGGAAGGAAUUGAAAUAUCUGUUUGGAUGGAUGAUAUGACAAUACAUAAUGCUGAUGCUUUGGUGAAUGCAGCUAAUGAACAUCUGGACCAUAUUGGAGGCCUUGCUCUUGCCCUGGUGAAAGUUGGUGGGCCAGAAAUUAAGCAAGAGAGUAAAUGUUAUAUCGAUCGCCAUGGAACACUCACCACUGGCCAAAUAGCAGUGACAGGUGGAGGCAGGCUUUCGUGUAAGAAAGUUAUCCACACAGUAGGUCCAAGAUGGUCUGCAAAUGAAAGUGAGAGAUGUUGUCACAUGCUUGAGACAGCCAUUAUAAAUGUCCUGAAAUAUGUUAAUGCUCCGGAGAAUAAUAUAAAGUCUGUUGCAAUCCCUGCAGUAAGCUCAGGAAUUUUUGGCUUCCCACUAGAUUUAUGUGCUCAUGUGAUCGUACGGACUAUAAAGAAUUUUGUUGAGCUAGCUCCAUUAUUUGGCUGGUUGAAAGAAAUCCACUUGGUGAACAUUGCUGAGCCCACAGUUGCUGCAGUGAAAAAGGCCUGUGAAGAGUUGCUGGGCAGGAGUGACAUCAACUCACUUCAGGAGACUCCACCAGCUUCAGCAAACUGUCUUCCAGAUUCCAUCACAAUCAAUGGCCUUUGCCUACACAUCAUAAGAGGACACAUUGAAGAUCAGCAAACUGCAGUCAUUGUUAAUUCUGUGGUCAUGAAUGAUGAUCUCUCAAGAGGAAACCUUUCAAGAGCAAUUCUAGAAAAAGCAGGCCUCUCUCUUCAGAAGGAAUUUCUGUUUGAGUUACAAAAACUUCCUCCAUAUUGUGAGAAAUUCAUAUUGACAAAAGGAUACAAUCUUGCUUGCAAGUCUGUGCUCCACAUAGUAUGGUCCUCAGAAAGCAGCAGUGAUUCACGCAAGGGACUAAAAACUGCAAUGUCAAGAUGUUUGCUUAAGAUUCAGGAGUAUCAGCUUCCCUCAAUUUCCUUCCCUGCAAUUGGGACUGGAGUGUUAAAUUUGCCAAAUGAUGAAGUGGCAGAUAUUAUGAUUGAUGAAGUUUUAAGCUUUGCAAAGGAACAUCCUUGGAAGAAGACAGAUGUGUAUUUUGUGAUCCAUCCAAAUGACAGUUAUGCCUAUAAGGCUUUUCAAACCAAGUUUGAGUCAGCAAAAAACAAACUGAUAGGAGACAUGGAAUGCAACAAAAGUGAUGAUUUGAGGUCACGCUCUGACAGACAAGCUGAAAUAGAGAAUAAAAAAACUGGACCAGCCAUUGAACUUAUUGGCAACUGCUAUGAAAAACUGGAAGCAGCAAAAAUAUGGAUUGAAGACAUAAUGCAAGUCCAGGAAAGUCACCUUAUCGUUAUAGAAAACAAUCACAUUUUUAACCUUAGCAAAAGAGAGCAUGCAGAACUUUCUCAUCUGCAGCGUUUCGGUGUAUCCAUAUUGGAAGAAGUGGUUGGUGGAAAAGCAAAAUUAGAGAUUCAAGGUCCUCCUGGUGCCAUAAUUGAUGCGGUGUUUGUGAUCGAAAACUUACUGUGUUAUGUGCAAGAGAAUAAUAGAACCAAACAAGAGGAACUGCCGCAGUUAGAGGGCCGACUGGAAACUAAUUAUCCUCCAGAAAAACUCCGAGACGAGACAAGGGAUACCAAAAUGCAUUACCAGAUCUCAGAAGCAGACUUAUACUGUCAGGAAUUCAAGGAUCGAGAAAAACAGUUUGAAAAAGCUGGGCUUCGUGUUCUCAAGCAAAGCUCUAAGAAUUUUCAAGGAGAAUUUGGAGGCUUGGCAUAUAGCUGUCCAGAAGCUCAGGUUGAAGAGACACUUUGGAGUGAAUAUCCAUCCAGCCAUGCAUUGGAUUCAUUUGCACCUGACCUCAGACUCUGUGAUUCAGUUGCAAAUCCAGAUGAAUACAGUAGUCUGAAUUUUCACCAAAUAGCUGGAGAGUUUUCAGGAAAGAGAAGGCCCAGUACAUCAUUAUCAAACUUAACAGAAGAAGACGUUUUAACAGUCCCUCAGUCAAUUCGCAGUAAGGUUGAAAUGUUCUACCUAUCAACAUGGGGCGGCACAAUCUUCCAGAAGUCUAGGUUCAGAAGUCUGGGAUAGGCUCACACUGGAGGUUUGAAACUCAAGAGUCAGAAUCCCGCAAGACAUCCAGCGCAGAAUAUAAGAUAACUGAUCUUCUAAAAUGGUACCUUAGCAUGAAUGCAAUAUCUGCUGGAAGAAAGCACCCCUGGAAAUCACUUCUUAGACAAUAUUCAUUCGUAAACCACUGUGAAUGUAAUGUGAAGGCCAUCUGGAGAUGCAAGCAUAGGGAGAUGACUCAACUUUGGGUGAAGGGGAACCGGGUCCCUUACUGGCCAUUUUGGGUAGUAUGCCGUGCUCCUCUGGAGGGACAGUUUCCUGCUCUCAAGUGGAGGUAGCUGCCUUUUCCCUGGUCACCGCCAAUGGAGGAAUGGGGAUUGAGAGCACGGCUGAAUAGAAACAAUCUACAGUUACAGCGGGAGAAGAUAAAAGUUAACUUGGAAGUGUGCCAUCAACGCCUGUUGCCUUUGAUCUCUAAACCCUUCCUAGACUCCAAAAUGAAGAAGGGUCUUAUUUGAAGUGCAGAGUAUCAAACUGAUUACGCACCCAACAUCCUGCUGUUUCUGAAGACUCAUUUUAAAAAUAGCUACAGACACCGUAUCCGCCAACAAGCAAAAAAAGAGAGGAGGGACGUCCGGAGGGAGAAACGUGUUUUAACUCUAGUGCCCAGAGGGACUAGGAAUCCAUUUGGAGGGCCAGGGUAGAAAAAAAGUAAGCACUUUGCUACAGAAGAGGUAUUGUUGGUAUGUAUGUAUGUAAGAGACAAAAAGAAAACCCAAUGGAAACUGGUCAUUUCUAGGGCUUGGGGUUUACAGCAGAUAGCAUAUAUGACUUCUGUCGCUACCCUACCUGACUUCAGAGUAAAGCACAGGAUCUAGGCUCCCGGAAAGGAUUGCUCCCAGCAGGAACACCUAUUAGCAGGGCAUCUUUGCAGGCGUUCUGCAUACAAUACUGCUGAAGUUCUGCAGCUGCCUGAGAGACCUGUACAAAGAAAA